UGGGGAAUAUUGCGCAAUGGGGGAAACCCUGACGCAGCGACGCCGUGUGAGGGAAGAAGGCUUUCGGGUCGUAAACCUCUGUCAGGAAGGAAGAACCUCUCAAGGCUGAACAAGCCUUGGGACUGACGGUACUUCCAGAGGAAGCACCGGCUAACUCCGUGCCAGCAGCCGCGGUAAUACGGAGGGUGCAAGCGUUAUCCGGAUUUAUUGGGUUUAAAGGGUCCGUAGGCGGACUUAUAAGUCAGUGGUGAAAGCCUGUCGCUUAACGAUAGGACUGCCAUUGAUACUGUAAGUCUUGAGUAUAUUUGAGGUAGCUGGAAUAAGUAGUGUAGCGGUGAAAUGCAUAGAUAUUACUUAGAACACCAAUUGCGAAGGCAGGUUACCAAGAUAUAACUGACGCUGAGGGACGAAAGCGUGGGGAGCGAACA
rnacentral:rRNA from 1 species